UUACAAGUUAAGAUAAAGAGAGAAGUGCAACAUCAUAUUCUUGAAAAGGAGCGAGGUCUUCAUUCAGUUAGCGGAACUGUCACCUCCCCGGCUUUCCAGCUUCGCGCCUUCGGACAGGAUCACAGACUAUACAUAGAGGCAUGCAUGGUGACGGUGAAACUUUGAACGGUGAAACUUUGAAGGUCCAGCUAAAAAUGCGGUGCUAUAGAAGCAGGAGAAAUUUUAGGUACUUGAGAGAUAAUUAAUUCUCCAUUGAAGCUGUUUUGGUG